CCUACGGGAGUCAGCAGUGGGGGAUAUUGCACAAUGGGGGAAACCCUGAUGCAGCGACGCCGCGUGGGUGAAGAAGCGCCUCGGCGCGUAAAGCCCUGUCAGCAGGGAAGAAAAUGACGGUACCUGAAGAAGAAGCCCCGGCUAACUACGUGCCAGCAGCCGCGGUAAUACGAAGGGGGCAAGCGUUAUCCGGAUUUACUGGGUGUAAAGGGGGCGCAGACGGCGAUGCAAGCCAGGCGUGAAAUCCCGGGGCCCAACCCCGGGACUGCUCUUGGGACUGCGUGGCUAGAGUGCAGGAGGGGAAGGCGGAAUACCUAGUGUAGCGGUGAAAUGCGUAGAUAUCAGGAGGAACACCGGUGGCGAAGGCGGCCAGCUGGAC
rnacentral:rRNA from 1 species